rnacentral:rRNA from 1 species
AUACGGAGGGUGCGAGCGUUAAUCGGAAUUACUGGGCGUAAAGCGUACGUAGGCGGUUGGUUAAGUUAGAUGUGAAAGCCCCGGGCUUAACCUGGGAACUGCAUUUGAAACUGGGUAACUAGAGUUUAGUAGAGGGGAGUGGAAUUUCAGGUGUAGCGGUGAAAUGCGUAGAGAUCUGAAGGAACACCAGUGGCGAAGGCGACUCCCUGGACUAGAACUGACGCUGAGGUACGAAAGCGUGGGUAGCAAACAGGAUUAGAUACCCCGGUAGUCC